AAAUGGGUGAUGAUAUAUACACGGAUCGUCCGUGUAUUUAUCAAAAUUUUGUGCAUAUUUGUUAUUUGCACAGACGAUCUGUGUCAAAGGAAUGCGUGUAUUUGUUAUUUGCACAGACGAUCUGUGUCAAAGGAAUGCGUGUAUUUGUUAGUUGCAAAGACGAUCUGUGUACAAGGGAAUGCGUGUAUUUGUUAGUUGCAAAGACGAUCUGUGUACAAGGGAAUGCGUGUAUGUGUUAGUUGCAAAGACGCUUAUAGGAUAUGAUACGGUGACGUCAUAACAUUCUUUUGGCGGUGAAUUUUUCAAAAUGGCGGACGAGCCAGUGGGUCCAUGUAAUGCGUUCCGCUUUCUAGGGUCAUUUUUUGCCUUUUUAGGGUAGAAAUCACGCCUAAAGUGACGAGAUAAAGCGGUCCUGGCUUCACUAGCAACCUGUGCGAUGAAGUUCUCUUGUGAGAAAACCAUCCCUGGCCUCAUGGGUGGCGUGUACCAUGCAGAUUCCUCAUUCCUGUGAGAAAGCGACGCUGGCAGCAUGGCCAAGCUUCGUAAUGCAGGCGCAGCCACUCAGUGUCCUUUCGGAAGAUGCGAUCCUGAUUGCUUUGCAGGCCGUGGCAGACAGAUUUCCUGUGAAAAAGCGACGCUGCCAGCAUGGCCAAGCUUCGUAAUGCAGGCGCAGCCACUCAGUGUCCUUUUGGAAGAUGCGAUCCUGAUUGCUUUGCAGGCCGUGGCAGACAGAUUUCCUGUGUAAAAGCGACGCUGCCAGCAUGGCCAAGCUUCGUAAUGCAGGUGCUGCCAUACUAAUUUCUGUGAGGAAUGCAAACCAGGCUUCGCGGGCAAAAAUUGAAUUAAAAUAAUUUUGAAAAUAUUUAUUAUUAAAUUAAUUAAUUAGAGCUGAAGAUAUUUGUGCUCAGAGAAAAUAUCUUGGCAUCAUGAAUAUAUCUGCGGCUAAAUACAAAACGGGGAUGGGCACGAAAUUCAAAGAGGAAAAUAUUUGCCUGUUGUUUUUCUAUUACCAAGCCGCCUGUGAACUGAGAACACUUUUGGCCCCCUCUCGGUCACUGGAGUCGCCAUAUUUUUCUACGACUGCUGCGCCAAUUGAAUAGAAAUGUCAAUUUUCGUUUUUAACCACCUAUGGUCUCCCUAUUCCACUGGAGUUGUUUUUUAUUUCAACUAAAGCUCCUAUAACUAGACAAAAAGUGUUAAAUUUCUUGUUGAAUCACUCAUGGUCCCCCUCUACUACUGGAGGUGCAAAUUUUUAGCGUCUGCAGUGCCAUUUAAACGUACCCUAUCGAAAACACUUCCAAUACCCCUCUGCGUAUGCAAAAUUAACCGUUGUUACACUCAAAACCACACUUGACCCCCUCUCCAAUACUGGAGUCGUGAAUUUAGCGACCCAAAUGGCCAAUCUAACAACUACAACCCCUUUUCAAAUCCUUACCACCUCAACUUCUCUCUCAACUCCUACUCUAAAGGGGGGGGGGCAAGUGUGCUGUUUUACCGAAUUUUCCUCAAUUUUACUGUCUUCUUUAAGGUUAGCCAUUUGCUGAUGCUGCAGUCGAUGUUGGGCAGAUUCUGCAAUGCAAAUAUCUGUGACAAAAUCUACCCUGGCUCCAAGGGCAGACAUGCAUUGAUACAUUUAUGAAUAUUUUUCUUCAUCAGUGACUCGUUUUGUAGCAACAUAUUAAUUUAUUAAAAAUUUCAGGUCCCUUGCUAAUUUCAACUUGAAUCAUCGGCUCGCGCUUAAAUGCAGAUUCCCUAAUGGAGAGCAAUGAUUGCGCUGUACUGUGAGAGCAGAGCGACACCGUGAGUGAUGUUCUGGCUGGCAAAGCAGAUUCCAGCGAGCAGAGCAAAAAGCAGAGCGUGAUGGGCAGUUCUUCUGCGACCUAAAUUAUCGGAAGAGGGGUAUUGCAGUGCCAAGGAUGCGAGACUUGGUACCAUCCUAAGUGCAUCAAUCACCCAUUAGCAGACCAAGAUCAAAUGAAAGACUUGACCUUCACCGACAUUCCGAACUGGACGUGCCAAAAAUGCAA